rnacentral:tRNA from 1 species
GAAUAAGAAACAAUUAAUUGUAUUUAGUUUCGACCUAAAAUUUUGACUAUAAAAUCCUUAUUUU